rnacentral:rRNA from 1 species
GUAGGUGGCAAGCGUUGUCCGGAAUUAUUGGGCGUAAAGCGCGCGCAGGCGGUUCUUUAAGUCUGAUGUGAAAGCCCACGGCUCAACCGUGGAGUGUCAUUGGAAACUGGAGAACUUGAGUACAGAAGAGGAAAGCGGAAUUCCACGUGUAGCGGUGAAAUGCGUAGAGAUGUGGAGGAACACCAGUGGCGAAGGCGGCUUUCUGGUCUGUAACUGACGCUGAGGCGCGAAAGCGUGGGGAGCAAACAGGAUUAGAUACCCUGGUAGUCCACGCCGUAAACGAUGAGUGCUAAGUGUUAGGGGGUUUCCGCCCCCCUUAGUGCUGCAGCUAACGCAUUAAGCACUCCGCCUGGGAGUACGGCCGCAAGGCUG